rnacentral:rRNA from 1 species
GGUUUUCUGUAGUUUAAUAGAAAAUUUGACCUGCCCACUGAUAUUAAUUUAAGGGCUGCAGUAUAUUGACUGUACAAAGGUAGCAUAAUCAUUAGUCUUUUAAUUGAAGGCUGGAAUGAAAGGUUUGACAUACUCGAGCUGUCUCUGAUUUAGUGAGUGAAUUUUUUUGUUUGUGAAAAGGCAAAAAUUGGCUAAAGGGACAAGAAGACCCUAUCAAACUUGGUUUGGACAAGAAUAUUGUUGGAGGAAUAAAAGUGAUAUUGAGGUUAAAAUUUACUGGGGCGGUAAGUAUUAACCUAUAUUAUGGUAUAACGUGUUAAGUGAAAAAUAUAAGGAUCCAGUGGAUUGAGAUUAGGAAAUAGUUACUGUAGGGAUAACAGCGUAAUGCUCUUUGAGAGUUCAUAUUGACAAGAGUGUUUGCGACCUCGAUGUUGGAUUAAGGAUUCUUCUUGAUGAAGCUGUCAAUUGAGAUAGUCUGUUCGACUAUUAAAUUCUU